AGUUAGGAUGUGAAAACACCUUAAGUUUCGGCCUUAAUUCUGCACACUUAUGAGUGCCCUAACUU
rnacentral:tRNA from 1 species